GGUCAGGAUUGCGCCAUUGAUCAAAUUUGCGGCAAAGUCUCUAACGGUUCUUAUGACUGCAUUUGCCACAAAGGUUAUGAAAUGAUCACUUCAGGAGGAAACAGCACAUGCCAAGAUGCUGAUGAAUGCAGCGAUCCAGAAAAAUGUCCAGCAAACUCUGUCUGUGUAAACUCCGAAGGUAGUUACGACUGUGAAUGCAGUGAGGGGUACACGAGGAAUGACAAUGGCGUCUGCCAGGGUAAGUGAAUGUGUUUCACUUUAAUGAUCCCCUUCACUACUCUAGCUGCUGCAGAUUAUUAAAUAAAAGUUCAAAGAAACACUUACCGACAGUUUGCUGCAAGGAAAAGCAUUUGGAAAAUUAAACACAAGUUAAUUUGGUCCUAUUGUCUAGAGGAUAAAGAAAAGAAAUCGAGUCAUCAAAAUGCUACUUCAGACGACGUGAUCAUGUGUUUCUUCCCCGCCGAAAAAAACGAAAUCACCACAAAAUCAAAUUUUACUUCAAAACAGUGAAGAAACAGGCUCUCCACGAAUAUGCCUCUGCCCAUCCCAUAAAUCUAUUUAGUUUGUUUUAAAAAAGUCAAUCACAAUUGUUAAGUUUUGGGAGUUUUGUAAAAGAGAAUUUUCGGAUGACGUCACGGCAGCCAUAUUGAUGUCCCAAAACAACGAAACGGCGGCCAUGUUGGUGUUCCAACCAAUCCUGUGGGAGUUGAACUCUUUAAUUAGGUAAACACCUUCAUUUCCUCCAACAAAUUUAAAUUUGCAUGGCUGCUAGCCGCUUGAGUGAAAACGCUCUGAUUUUCAUUGCAGAUGUGGAUGAAUGCUCUGAAAUUGCGAGUCCAUGCGGUGCCGCGGAGAAAUGUGUGAACGUGCCGGGAAAGUUCUCUUGCGAGUGUGAACAGGGAUACUCUAAGAAGGACGGAGCAUGCGUAGAGGACGAAUGCAACUGCAAAAAACAUGAAGUAUGCUCUGAAGGAAAGUGUAAAUGCAAGAAGGCAUACAAGAAGAACAAAAAGGGACACUGCGUUUCU